rnacentral:rRNA from 1 species
AACGAACGCUGGCGGCAUGCCUAACACAUGCAAGUCGAACGAGACCUUCGGGUCUAGUGGCGCACGGGUGCGUAACGCGUGGGAACCUGCCCUUAGGUUCGGAAUACCUCCCCGAAAGGGGUGCUAAUACCGGAUAAUGUCUUCGGACCAAAGAUUUAUCGCCUUUGGAUGGGCCCGCGUUGGAUUAGCUAGUUGGUAGGGUAAAAGCCUACCAAGGCGACGAUCCAUAGCUGGUCUGAGAGGAUGAUCAGCCACACUGGGACUGAGACACGGCCCAGACUCCUACGGGAGGCAGCAGUGGGGAAUAUUGGACAAUGGGCGAAAGCCUGAUCCAGCAAUGCCGCGUGAGUGAUGAAGGCAUUAGGGUUGUAAAGCUCUUUUAACCGGGAUGAUAAUGACAGUACCGGGAGAAUAAGCUCCGGCUAACUCCGUG